rnacentral:lncRNA from 1 species
CACAUGCCACCAGGUGGAGGUGGGAAGUGGGACAUGCUUCCAAGAAGUCCUUACAAUUGCAUUCCGAUGACUCCACUAAGUUGAUAAAGAAGCUGCAGUUAUAGAAAGAAGUUAUAGAAAGAAGGUCAACCCUGUGACUUAGUUCUAAACAACUGCAGCCCCAGAAGACGUUCAGGGGCAGAGGUGGUGCGCAUCUUCUGUUAUAAUUGACCUGGGCUUUGAGAUUUCUCUGUCAUGAUGUAUCCCAGAAUGUUGCAUGAUGGGAAGACCCUUGUUAUUCCUUCACCAGCCGAGCCAAACGGACAAGAUCAAACAGCUAUGCUCAAACACGGCAAUUGAUCCAGAACCAGAAGCUGGGACCCAGUGUUGCAGUUCAUGGUGUAAUUGCAGACAGGCUAAGAAAGCCCUGCCGCAUCCCCUGACCCCCUCUGCUUCCCGCCUCUCAGGAGCAGUAUCAACUGGCGGCUUUCUGCAAUCUACCUUCGUGGGACCAUGGCUUUUUUACUUAAGGCUAAAAUCUUUGUUUAAACACAAAACCUUGAGAGGGAUCAUAUUUAAGGUGGUACAAGGUGAAGAAAUCCUAUCACAGAAGGAAACUUUGAAAGAAUUGGAUCUGAUUUGGUUAAAAAAAAGAAGGAAGAAAGAAAAAAAACAAGGAGAGAUAUGUCUUCAAAUAUUUGAAGAAUUUUAAAAGAAGUCAACUUGCUUUUGCUUCUACCAAAAGCACAAUGGGAACCAAGAGUGAAAGCUGUCUGUUUUCUGUUCUACAUUAAGAAAGAAUUUACCAACACUUGACGCUGCCCAAGUGUAGAAUGGCCGUCCUGGGGAAGUUGUGGGUACCCCUUUAUUAUAAGAUCUCAGCAGGGAUACUGGAGACAGAGUCCUCUCCCUUAUGGGUUCUUCCAAUCCUAAAUUCUGUAGCUCUUUGGUUAAUGUUCUAUAUCUUUGUGCAAGUGUUUAUGGCUGUUAUUUGUGUGAUUAAGAAAAUUUUAUUAAAAACACUGAAAAACACAAAUAAAGUAAAAAUCACCCAUAAUCCCA